rnacentral:rRNA from 1 species
GAUGAACGCUGGCGGCGUGCCUAAUACAUGCAAGUCGAGCGAACAGACGAGGAGCUUGCUCCUCUGACGUUAGCGGCGGACGGGUGAGUAACACGUGGAUAACCUACCUAUAAGACUGGGAUAACUUCGGGAAACCGGAGCUAAUACCGGAUAAUAUAUUGAACCGCAUGGUUCAAUAGUGAAAGACGGUUUUGCUGUCACUUAUAGAUGGAUCCGCGCCGCAUUAGCUAGUUGGUAAGGUAACGGCUUACCAAGGCAACGAUGCGUAGCCGACCUGAGAGGGUGCUCGGCCCCACCGGAACUGAGACACGGUCCAGACUCCUACGGGAGGCAGCAGUAGGGAAUCUUCCGCAAUGGGCGAAAGCCUGACGGAGCAACGCCGCGUGAGUGAUGAAGGUCUUCGGAUCGUAAAACUCUGUUAUUAGGGAAGAACAAAUGUGUAAGUAACUAUGCACGUCUUGACGGUACCUAAUCAGAAAGCCACGGCUAACUACGUG